rnacentral:antisense_RNA from 1 species
AGCGCGAAGAAGGCGGCCAUGAGUCCGUUGCAGGCCCGCCACAGGGCAGGCGCCAUGGCUCGGAGAACGCGGCGCGGGGCGGUGAGUCCUGCCACGUGCGGGGCGGUGUGGUCAGCUACUCCGGAAUGUGGCAGGGGUGGAGGCCGGACAAAGUCUGAGACAGGGUCAUCACCAUAGCACCUGACAUACCUGGAUAUAAACAAUAUCCAAGGCCCCUAAGGUAAAAGCCAUGCUCCAAGUCCCCUUCUGACUUCUAGUCACUUCCGUGCUGCCAGCAGAGAGCAUGGGAUUCUUCCUGAGGAGCCUGAGUCUCAGCUUUGCCAGGUCCUUGCUGUGUGACCUUGGGCACCUGUGCUCCCUUAACAAAGAGGAAUAAAACCUCUUCAGACUACUCUCCUAUCGAUUCUCUCCUGGAACAUAUGACCACCAUCAAUUAUAGGCAAGAACAUGAACACGGGAGUCCCAAAGACUUGGGUUCAAAUGUCAGCCCCUUCACUCACUGGCUGUAGGUGUGAGGCCCUGGGUAAGGUCCUUACCUCCC